AUUGAACGCUGGCGGCAGGCCUAACACAUGCAAGUCGAGCGGAUGAAGGGAGCUUGCUCCUGGAUUCAGCGGCGGACGGGUGAGUAAUGCCUAGGAAUCUGCCUGGUAGUGGGGGAUAACGUCCGGAAACGGGCGCUAAUACCGCAUACGUCCUGAGGGAGAAAGUGGGGGAUCUUCGGACCUCACGCUAUCAGAUGAGCCUAGGUCGGAUUAGCUAGUUGGUGGGGUAAAGGCCUACCAAGGCGACGAUCCGUAACUGGUCUGAGAGGAUGAUCAGUCACACUGGAACUGAGACACGGUCCAGACUCCUACGGGAGGCAGCAGUGGGGAAUUUUGGACAAUGGGCGAAAGCCUGAUCCAGCCAUGCCGCGUGUGUGAAGAAGGUCUUCGGAUUGUAAAGCACUUUAAGUUGGGAGGAAGGGAAGUAAGUUAAUACCUUGCUGUUUUGACGUUACCAACAGAAUAAGCCCCGGCUAACUUCGUG
rnacentral:rRNA from 1 species